rnacentral:rRNA from 1 species
GAAUAUUGGACAAUGGGGGGAACCCUGAUCCAGCCAUGCCGCGUGUGUGAAGAAGGCCUUUUGGUUGUAAAGCACUUUAAGCGAGGAGGAGGCUACUGAGAUUAAUCCUCUAGGCUAGUGGAAGUUACGAGCAGAAUACGCACCGGCCAACUAGGUGCACUCAGCCGCGGUAAUACAGAGGGUGCAAGCUUUAAUCGGAUUUACUGGGCGUCAAGCGUGCGUAGGUGGCCAAUUAAGUCAAAUGUGAAAUCCCCGAGCUUAACUUGGAAAUUGCAUUCGAUACUGGUUGGCUAGAGUAUGGGAGAGGAUGGUAGAAUUCCAUGUGUAGCGGUGAAAUGCGUAGAGAUCUGGAGGAAUACCGAUGGCGAAGGCAGCCAUCUGGCCUAAUACUGACACUGAGGUGCGAAAGCAUGGGGAGCAAACA